GGGGUGGGGGAAGCAUUCGGGUGUCAACUGCCCAAAUGUUCCCUCCCCAGCCUCUUGUUAGAAUUCUAUUUCACUAUUAAAAACGUGACUCUUUCAGCUCUCUGGCCUCAGAGAGCUCUUUAUUAAAAUGCAAAUGUCCCUUAAGGGUAGCCCCAUAAGCCUUUGCCAGCUAAUGGGAUUAACUGAACAGAACACAACCACCUGCAGGGAGGUAAGGAGGCCUGGGGCCAGAAGCCCCCUUCUCCAAUUUGCCACAGGCUCAUCCCUGAGCGGGAAGGAAGCAAAAUCCAGUCUUCCCAGCCUCAGCUGUCCAGAUGUCUUUGAAAGGGAACUCUGCAGCCGGGGGCCCCCGAGUCCCAGCAGUGGGACCAUUUGCUCACUGCAGUUCUCGGCGCCUUGGUGGCCCCAUCUCUUAACAAUCAGUUCUCUCAGGAUGGACAACGUUUUCAAGGAAAAUAGGAAAAAGAGUCCCAGAGCCCAGAAGCUAAGAUGGAGGACAGGCCAGGAUCUAAGAUGGUGGACUGGAGCAAAAAUGGAGGGCAGUUGAGGACCUAAAAUGGAGAACUGACUAAAACCAAAAUGGAGGGGAUCCCAGAAGCUAAGAUGGAGGACCCAAGCUAAGAUGAAAACACUUCACAGUACCUCAGGACCUCUGGAUGCAAACUGUGAAUGCUUUUUCACCCCACCCCUCAGAAUACAAAUCCUAGACAUAAACAGAAGAGUCUAAGCUUAGGUGGAAGAAUUUAAGGCUAUCCCCUAAGAGGAUUUUCAGUCCCAGAAGAUCCUGAAAGGCUCAGGCUCCAGACAAAUCAGAGAAGAGAGAAGGAGCUGGCUAAAGGAGCUGGAUGAAGAAGGAGCUUCACUAUCCCAGGGUCAGGCCUCUGGAGUCCCUUCUGAAAGCAAGUCCAUCCCUCAGUUCGCCCAGCAAACCCCCAGCAACACCUCCUACAGAAAGGCCUGGUUCGGUAGCUUCUCUGAGACCCACACUGGGCCUCGAGAAGGUCCCACCCCUGCUG